UACAGAGGUCUCAAGCGUUGUUCGGAUUCAUUGGGCGUAAAGGGUGCGUAGGCGGCGCGGUAAGUCGGGUGUGAAAUCUCGGAGCUUAACUCCGAAACUGCAUUCGAUACUGCCGUGCUUGAGGACUGGAGAGGAGACUGGAAUUUACGGUGUAGCGGUGAAAUGCGUAGAUAUCAGGAGGAACACCGGUGGCGAAGGCGGUUCUCUGGGCCUUACCUGACGCUGAGGAGCGAAAGCAUGGGGAGCAAACAGG
rnacentral:rRNA from 1 species